rnacentral:rRNA from 1 species
UACAGAGACUGCAAGCGUUAUUCGGAUUCACUGGGCGUAAAGGGUGCGCAGGCGGCCGUGUGUGUCAGGUGUGAAAGCCCGGAGCUUAACUCCGGAACUGCGCCUGAAACUACAUGGCUAGAGCAUUGGAGAGGGUAGCGGAAUUCACGGUGUAGCAGUGAAAUGCGUAGAUAUCGUGAGGAACACCAGAGGCGAAGGCGGCUACCUGGACAAUUGCUGACGCUCAGGCACGAAAGCGUGGGGAGCAAAAGGG